UCCUGGGUAUCUCAGCGGUAGAGAAUUCGCCUCAUAAGCGAGUCGUCGCUGGUUCGAAUCCAGCCCCAGGAA
rnacentral:tRNA from 1 species